UAUUUCUUUUUUUAUUGGGUGCUAGCACAAUAAUUAAAUGACACACCUCAUGAAAUAUUCUAUCAUAAAGUUUAUUGUAUAUUUUUUCUUAUAGUAGAGACGAGACACUCAUUCUCUCUAUAGGGGUUUUAUUGUACUCUCUUGGAUGCGGUACUCAUACUAGAUUCUCAAUUAAUUUACAUUUUUUAUCAAUGCACUUAAAAAUGAAACACAUGUUCACACUUUUUGGACAAUCGGCAUCAGUCUCACAAUCAAUAUUGUUCUCAUUAUUAAUAUAUUCUGUAAUGAAAAAAAAGAUAAUAAAAUAGUGUUACUAAAAUAUGAUAAAAAGUUGUGUAUGAAUUAUGAUGUUAAGAAGCAAAUUUUAUAACAAUGAAAAAUUAGCUUACCCCCACCAACUUCUGUUGCGACAAAAACUAAGGAAAGAAAUAGAGCCGUAACAAAAAUAAACUUGAGAAUUUUAGUCAUAUUUUUCUUCUUUACAUGUAAAAAAUAUAAUAUAAUUUGACCACUUUAUAGUGUAUUAAUUUCAUGCUCUCCUAAAAAUAAAUAAUUAAAUAUUAUUUUAGUACUUG
rnacentral:lncRNA from 1 species